UUCCGGUUGAUCCUGCCGGAGGUCACUGCUAUCGGGAUUCGACUAAGCUAUGCGAGACGCGAGUCAUCUGGACUCGUCGAACUGCUCAGUAACACGUAGUUAACUUACCCUCAAGUGGAGGAUAAUCCUGGGAAACUGGGGCUAAUACUCCAUAGUUGUAUCAUGCUGGAAUGCUUUUACAACCAAAGCUCCGGCGCUUGAGGAUAGGACUGCGGCCUAUCAUGGCUGUUGUGAGUGUAAUGUACUCACAAACCUGUAACGGGUAGGGGUCAUGAAAGUGAGAGCCCCGAGAUGCUUUCUGAGACAUGAAAGCAGGUCCUACGGGACGCAGCAAGCGCGCAACCUUUCCAAUGGCUUAACGGUCGAGAAGGGAAUCCUGAGUGAUUAUACUAUGUAUAGUCUUUUGCUUUGUCUAAAUCGCAAGGCGAAUAAGAGGUGGGUAAGACGGGUGGCAGCCGCCGCGGUAAUACCCGCGCCUCGAGUGGUGACCACUAUUAUUGGGUUUAAAGCGUCCGUAGCCGGUUUGGCAAGUUCUUGGUGAAAUCCAAUAGCUAACUAUUGGGCUUGCUGAGAAUACUACCAGACUUGGGAUUGGGAGAGGAUAGGGGUAUUCCAUGUGUAGGGGUUAAAUCCUUUAAUCCAUGGAGGACCACCGGUGGCGAAGGCGCCUAUCUAGAACAAGUCCGACGGUGAGGGACGAAAGCGUGGGGAGCAAAUGGGAUUAGAUAUAAAUCUUUCUAAUCCGCUGAUACCAAAGAUGAUUGGAGGGUUUACUAGAAACCCCAGUAGUCCACGCCGUAAACGAUGCCCGCUUGAUGUUGCAAACUUUACGAGAGUUUGCAGUGUCGGAGUGUAAAUGUUAAGCGGGCCACCUGGGGAGUACGGCCGCAAGGCUAAAACUUAAGGGAAUUGGCGGGAGAGCACACAAGGGGUGGAGCUUGCGGUUUAAUUGGAUUCAACGCCGGG
rnacentral:rRNA from 1 species